rnacentral:rRNA from 1 species
UACAGAGGUCUCGAGCGUUAGGCGGAAUCACUGGGCUUAAAGCGUGUGUAGGUGGAUGCCUAAGUACCUUGUGAAAUCCCACAGCUUAACUGUGGAACUGCUUGGUAUACUGGGUGUCUUGAGUCACUCAGGGGCGAGCGGAACAAAUGGUGGAGCGGUGAAAUGCGUAGAUAUCGGGAGGAACACCGGUGGCGAAGGCGGUUCUCUGGGCCUUACCUGACGCUGAGGAGCGAAAGCGUGGGGAGCGAACAGG